GUGGGGAAUCUUGCACAAUGGGCGAAAGCCUGAUGCAGCCAUGCCGCGUGAAUGAUGAAGGCCUUAGGGCUGUAAAAUUCUUUCGUCAGGGAUGAUAAUGACCGUACCUGAAGAAGAAGCCCCGGCUAACUUCGUGCCAGCAGCCGCGGUAAUACGAAGGGGGCUAGCGUUGUUCGGAAUUACUGGGCGUAAAGCGCACGUAGGCGGACUUUUAAGUCAGGUGUGAAAUCCCGGGGCUCAACCUCGGAACUGCAUUUGAAACUGGAAGUCUUGAGAUCAGGAGAGGUUAGCGGAAUACCGAGUGUAGAGGUGAAAUUCGUAGAUAUUCGGUGGAACACCAGUGGCGAAGGCGGCUAACUGGACUGAUACUGACGCUGAGGUGCGAAAGUGUGGGGAGCAAACAGGAUUAGAAACCCUGGUAGUCC
rnacentral:rRNA from 1 species